GAUGAACGCUGGCGGCGUGCUUAAUACAUGCAAGUCGGACGGAGGGUAGCAAUACCUUCAGUGGCGAACGGGUGAGUAACGCGUUGGUGACCUGCCCCGGAGAGAGGGAUAACAGGCCGAAAGGCUUGCUAAUACCACAUGCGCAGUUGAGGGAUUAGAAGCUUGACUGCAAAGCAGAAAUGCGCUCUGGGAGGGGCCUGCGACCCAUCAGCUAGUUGGUAAGGUAACGGCCUACCAAGGCGAUGACGGGUAGGGGACCUGAGAGGGUGGCCCCCCACAAUGGAACUGAAACACGGUCCAUACACCUACGGGAGGCUG
rnacentral:rRNA from 1 species